CCCCUCUCAGGAUCACACUUGGAGAGUUUCCAAUAUUCUACCAGUCUCGGCUGUGGGAGGGAGAGUCAAGCAAAGGCAUACCCAUUCCAUUCCUAGCUCAGACAGCGGCUAAUGAGUGGAAGGCAAUUUGCUACAAGU